rnacentral:rRNA from 1 species
CAGUCGCCGCGGUAACACGUAGGUGGCAAGCGUUGUCCGGAAUUAUUGGGCGUAAAGGGCUCGCAGGCGGUUUCUUAAGUCUGAUGUGAAAGCCCCCGGCUCAACCGGGGAGGGUCAUUGGAAACUGGGAAACUUGAGUGCAGAAGAGGAGAGUGGAAUUCCACGUGUAGCGGUGAAAUGCGUAGAGAUGUGGAGGAACACCAGUGGCGAAGGCGACUCUCUGGUCUGUAACUGACGCUGAGGAGCGAAAGCGUGGGGAGCGAACAGGAUUAGAUACCCGGGUAGUCCCUGUCUCUUAUAC